UACGGAGGAUCCAAGCGUUAUCCGGAUUUAUUGGGUUUAAAGGGUGCGUAGGUGGCCUGUUAAGUCAGGGGUGAAAGACGGUAGCUCAACUAUCGCAGUGCCCUUGAUACUGAUGGGCUUGAAUGAACUAGAGGUAGGCGGAAUGUGACAAGUAGCGGUGAAGUGCAUAGAUAUGUCACAGAACACCAAUUGCGAAGGCAGCUUACUAUGGUUUUAUUGACACUGAGGCACGAAAGCGUGGGGAUCAAACAGG
rnacentral:rRNA from 1 species